AUUCAGAUGAAGAGUCCCAAAUAGGACGAAAUGUGCAUCCUGCAU
rfam:Trichobilharzia regenti genome assembly, scaffold: TRE_scaffold0000599